rnacentral:rRNA from 1 species
UACGGGGGGGGCAAGCGUUGUUCGGAAUUACUGGGCGUAAAGAGCGCGCAGGCGGUCGUCCAAGUCGCGUGUGAAAGCCCCCGGCUCAACUGGGGAGGGUCACGCGAUACUGGUCGACUCGAAGGCAGGAGAGGGUAGUGGAAUUCCCGGUGUAGUGGUGAAAUGCGUAGAGAUCAGGAAGAACAUCGGUGGCGAAGGCGCUCUGCUGGACCAUAACUGACACUCAGGGACGAAAGCUAGGGGAGCGAAUGGG